UUCUACCUGCUUACAAUACCAUGUGUAGCGUAUCAGUUGUUGAGUUAAUUUCAUUUGUGCAAAAAUUAAUUUUCAUUGCAUUCCCUUUGCUGAAUUUAUGUUGACAACCUUUGUUUUUUCUUUCUGCCACCUCCUUAAUUAAAAACUAUCAAUUCACACAUUAGGGGAGCACCAAUCAAAUAAAUAUUAUUUGUAGUCCUCUGACAGCAGCUUGUUCAAAUGCCGGAACCAAUCCUAACACCAUGCCUGGUAACACAGCAAGCCCUGCUGCUACAGAAGCUUCAGUUGGGGUGCAAUCCCAACAACAAUCCCGACAAGAUUGUGCUCCUACAAGUUUAUCAAAACCUCGGUGUUACAAUGAUG